rnacentral:pre_miRNA from 1 species
GAUAUCAACUGAAAAAGUCAUCAACAAUAAAGUUGAAUAACUCAUCAAGAUCUAAAACUUUUAUUUUGGUCAUUUCUUCAUACGACAAAGUGAUAGUAACAUUGUUCACAAAAUUGACAUAUCUCUUAUCUGGUUUUAUAAACUAUAACACAUAUAUGUAAAAUUUGUGAAUAAUAUUACUAACAUUUCGUCGGAUGAAGAAAUAACAAAAGUAAAAGUUUUAGAUCUUGAUGAGUUAUUCAACUUUGUUGUUGAUGACUUUUUCAAUUGAAAUC